rnacentral:rRNA from 1 species
CAGAGGUCCCGAGCGUUGUUCGGAUUCACUGGGCGUAAAGGGUGCGUAGGUGGUGAGGUAAGUCGGAUGUGAAAUCUCCGGGCUUAACCCGGAAAUGGCAUUGGAAACUACCUUGCUAGAGGAUUUGAGGGGGGAUUGGAAUACUUGGUGUAGCAGUGAAAUGCGUAGAUAUCAAGUGGAACACCAGUGGCGAAGGCGAGUCCCUGGAAAUACCUGACACUGAGGCACGAAAGCUAGGGGAGCAAAACAGGAUUAGAUACCCUGGUAGUCCUAGCCCUAAACGGUGCUUGCUUGCUGUAAGAGGAAUCGACCCCUCUUGUGGCGGAGCUAACGCGUUAAGCAAGCCGCCUGGGAAGUACGGUCGCAAGAUUA